rfam:Brassica napus, WGS project CCCW01000000 data, contig: 10607
GGAAGUUAAAAAACUGUUUCUUAACUUUUAACUAAAAAAACUAAGAACCGGUUCUUAAAUAAGGACUUUAAGAACCGGUUCUUAGCUUUUUUAGUUAAAAGUUAAGAAACAGUUUCUUAACUUCC